CCAACCUACAACCUUCUCCAACCCGCACCCCCAUUCUUUUAGCCCAAACCAACCCGCCCCCGUCUAUUUCUCCAUCCUUUGGGCACCUCAAUCCUCCUUUCUUGUCCCUCCAACACCUCCCAGGCCACCCCAACUUGCACCCCAUCCCUACCUUUCCUCCAUCUAUGCCUCUUCCCAUAGCAACCCCUCAGCCCCCAUCUCUUACCAACACCCUCCAGCCUGCAACAACCUUCCCCAACCCACAAGCCCUGUAUCCCUCAGUUCAUUCCUCCACUCAUGGGACUCCAUAGCCACAGUCUAUCUCCAACAUCCUCCCAGCUCACAACAACCUGUGCCUCUAUCCAUGCCUCCCUCCCAACACAACCUGCACCCCACUCUGUCCCUAGAUAUGUGGGCCCCCAGUGCCCUUUUGUCCUUUCUCCAACAUGCAUCCCUAUCCCUACCUUACUCCCCCCCUCCCUCCAUCCAUCCAUGGGGCCCCUCAGCCCUUCUCUCUCCUUCCUCCACAACACAAACCCUUCAUAGGACAUGGGCAGGGAUGCUAGGUGUACAUCCCCACAGGCCAGGUCUCAGGAGCCAUGGAGAAGUAGGAGUGGACGAAAAACAUGCGGAGUAGUGGAUGGUAAAGUGGAGUGGUGACUGGGAUCAGUCUCUGUUCAUCGAGUGGGACUGGAGAGGGAGGCAGGAAUGAGGGCAAGAUUAAAGGCACCAAUAGAGCUCUGUAUAAUGAUAGUUCUUGUUUGGCUUUAUUAGUUUGCAGAGGAAUCGUCCAGGAGCUCUAGCCAGAUAAGAAUAUGGCAGAAAUGGACCUGAGCAGCCUGGACAUCCUUCUAAGGAUACAUAAACAGUCCUCAUGUUUCUGCCUUCUGCAUCCCUGGCUUACCAAGGGAAAAGAAAUCAAACAUCAGAGUUUACUCUCCUCAUCGGAUGGAAAGCGAGCGAGAGCAGUGAGCCCGCGAGCAUUGUUGAUGCAAGUGAAGAGCCGUCCGGUUGGCAGUUGCUACUGUCAGUGAGAUACAUGUCUGGUUUCGAGAGGGCUCUGCUCAUGACCCGCCUGGCUCCAGAUAGGGCCGCCCCAUUGGCUGGGGCUGGGUUUGUGAGAAAUGCUUCCUGACCAGCUGUGCUUACGAGAGAGACAAGAUCCCCAUUUUCAGGGGCUGCUCAGUUCUCUGGCCAGGAGUGGUGUGUCCUCCACAGCAGAAGGUUGCAUCUAGGAGGUUGACUCCAGUUUGCAGAGGAAUCGUCCAGGAGCCCAACCGGACAAGAAUAUGGCAGAAGUGGACCUGAGCAGCCUGGACAUCCUUCUAAGGAGACACGAAUAGUCCUCAUGUUUCCGCUUUCUGCAUCACGGGCUAUGAGUAAGAGUACCAAGGAAAAUGAAGUCGCGCAUCAAAGUCUACUGCUCUGAUGCGAUGGAAAGCGAGCAAGAGCGUCGAGACUCUGACCAUUGUUGAUGCCACGCAAAAGCUGUCCAUCUGGAAGCCGAGGAGAUGCUGCUGUCAGCGAGAUAAGUGUCUGGUUUGGGGAGGGCUCUGCUCACGCCCAACACGAGUCCAGGUAGGGAAGCCCAGUACGGUAAGGCUGGGUUUGUAUGAAAAGGUUCCUGACUAACUGUGGUCACGAGGGAGAAAAGGUCCCUGUUUUCAGAGGUUGCUCAUUUUUCUGGUCAGGAACAGUGUCUCCUGCACAGGGGGAGGUUGGAUCCAGGAGGAUGACUCAGGUGGUGAGUUGCUUGCUUUCCUCCCAUUUGUCUCUCCCUUCUCUAGUGUGUUGGCCAACUUUCUCACUCUCUUCCCUCUCCUCUCCUCGUGUUGUCUCACUUCCUAAGACACGGGCAGACAUGUUAGGUGUGCAUCCCUACAGGCUAGGUCUCGGGAUCCAUGGAGUAGCGGGAGCUGACGAAAAUCAUGCGUAGCAGUGGCUGUUGGUAUUAACUCUGUCUCUGUUGAUGGAGUGGGGCUGAGGUAGAUUGGGUUGGAGAGGGAUGCCAGGUUGAGGGCAAGAUUCGAAGCACCAGUAGAGCUUUGUGUAGUGAUGGCUCAUGCUUGGCUUUUGCAGCUGCUCUUCCAAAGCAAUUUUCCAGGAGUCCUAGACUGAGGAGAAAGUGGCAGAAGUGGACAUGAACAAUCCUCAGCUUUCUGACUCCCGCACAACUGGCUGUGAGUAAGCAGUCAGUGGUCUGAAUUCCUCAUCUGUGCUCGCUGUAGUGCUCUUCUCAGGCCUUGUGCUUCCUCGUUGAGUGCGGGGCUCUGUCAGAUUACGCUGGGGAGGGGCCAGAGUCUGCUGUGCAGAGUGAUUAUUUCGGGUGCCGUUGGAAGGGGUGCUUUUUAGUUGUUGUGCUAAAGGCGUAAUGGGGGGGAGGGUUUGAGGCGGAGUACUGCCGCGUGGGAGAGGUGAAUAAAAUGUUUCCCACUCUGAUGAUAACUGUGAUUAAUGUGCAUAAAUAUUUGUUAGGCCUCAACCUUCUGGAAAUUGUGUGAAGCGAGUACAGAUGAAUCCUGCAAGAAUAAGUGUAAUCUAACUAGGAAGCUUUGUAGAGUAAAAAGGAAACUCUGUAAAGGUAGAUACAGACCUGUGGUUACUAUGCUCUGCAACCAAAUACCUCUUGAAUCUCAUUUGAGCAUUUUUGAGUCUAGAAAAUUAAACACUAUUAGCCCCAUAGAAAAGAGAUGACCUGAGCACAGGUGCACAGUUCAUAAGAUCAAGACAACUGCACAUACCACAUGGAAACAUUUGGCCGCCUUCAUUGGUUGAUGUGUUUUGAAA